GGGAGGCAGCAGUGGGGAAUCUUGCGCAAUGGGCGAAAGCCUGACGCAGCGACGCCGCGUGCGGGAAGAAGGCCUUCGGGUUGUAAACCGCUUUCAGGAGGGACGAAGCCACUCGGGUGAACAGCCCAGAGGGUGACGGUACCUCCAGAAGAAGCCCCGGCUAACUACGUGCCAGCAGCCGCGGUAAUACGUAGGGGGCAAGCGUUGUCCGGAUUCAUUGGGCGUAAAGAGCGUGUAGGCGGCCAGGUAGGUCGGUUGUGAAAACUGGAGGCUCAACCUUCAGACGUCGACCGAAACCAUCUGGCUAGAGUCCGGGAGAGGAGAGUGGAAUUCCUGGUGUAGCGGUGAAAUGCGCAGAUAUCAGGAAGAACACCCGUGGCGAAAGCGGCUCUCUGGAACGGUACUGACGCUGAGACGCGAAAGCGUGGGGAGCGAACAGGAUUAGAUACCCUGGUAGA
rnacentral:rRNA from 1 species